rnacentral:rRNA from 1 species
GACGAACGCUGGCGGCGUGCUUAACACAUGCAAGUCGAACGGGCUUCUGGGGUUCUGGCUUUUUUGGUUGGGGUUCUGGGGGUUAGUGGCGAACGGGUGAGUAACACGUGAGUAACCUGCCCUUCACUUCUGGAUAACCGCUUGAAAGGGUGGCUAAUACGGGAUGUUUCUGGGUCUGUCGCAUGGCGGGUUCGGGAAAGAUGGCACUGUUUGGUGUUUUUGGUGGGGGAUGGGCUCGCGGCCUAUCAGCUUGUUGGUGGGGUGAUGGCCUGCCAAGGCUUUGACGGGUAGCCGGCCUGAGAGGGUGGGCGGUCACACUGGGACUGAGAUACGGCCCAGACUCCUACGGGAGGCAGCAGUGGGGAAUAUUGCACAAUGGGCGGAAGCCUGAUGCAGCGACGUCGCGUGAGGGAUGGAGGCCUUCGGGUUGUGAACCUCUUUCGCCAGUGAGGAAGGCCUUGCCUGUGUGGUGGGGUUGACGGUAGCUGGGUUAAUUGAAGCGCCGGCUAACUACGUGCCAGCAGCCGCGGUAAUACGUAGGGCGCGAGCGUUGUCCGGAAUUAUUGGGCGUAAAGGGCUUGUAGGCGGUUGGUCGCGUCUGCCGUGAAAUCCUCUGGCUCAGCUGGGGGCGUGCGGUGGGUACGGGCUGGCUUGAGUGCGGUAGGGGAGGCUGGAACUCCUGGUGUAGCGGUGGAAUGCGCAGAUAUCAGGAGGAACACCGGUGGCGAAGGCGGGUCUCUGGGCCGUUACUGACGCUGAGGAGCGAAAGCGUGGGGAGCGAACAGG